GCCAAUGUAGCUCAGUUGGUUAGAGCGGGCGUUUCAUAAGCGCCAGGUCCUUGGUUCGAUUCCAAGCAUUGGCACCA
rnacentral:tRNA from 1 species